rnacentral:rRNA from 1 species
CGCGGCCUAUCAGCUUGUUGGUGAGGUAAUGGCUCACCAAGGCGACGACGGGUAGCCGGCCUGAGAGGGUGACCGGCCACACUGGGACUGAGACACGGCCCAGACUCCUACGGGAGGCAGCAGUGGGGAAUAUUGCACAAUGGGCGAAAGCCUGAUGCAGCGACGCCGCGUGAGGGAUGACGGCCUUCGGGUUGUAAACCUCUUUCAGUAGGGAAGAAGCGAAAGUGACGGUACCUGCAGAAGAAGCGCCGGCUAACUACGUGCCAGCAGCCGCGGUAAUACGUAGGGCGCAAGCGUUAUCCGGAAUUAUUGGGCGUAAAGAGCUCGUAGGCGGUUUGUCGCGUCUGCCGUGAAAGUCCGGGGCUCAACUCCGGAUCUGCGGUGGGUACGGGCAGACUAGAGUGAUGUAGGGGAGACUGGAAUUCCUGGUGUAGCGGUGAAAUGCGCAGAUAUCAGGAGGAACACCGAUGGCGAAGGCAGGUCUCUGGGCAUUAACUGACGCUGAGGAGCGAAAGCAUGGGGAGCGAACAGGAUUAGAUACCCUGGUAGGCCAUGCCGUCAACGUUGGGCACUAGGUGUGGAGUACGUUCCACGUCUUCCUCGCCGUAUCUAAUGUAUUAAGUGCAGGGCGUGUGCAGU